AUGGCUGCUGCCGCCGCGCCAGCCUCCUCUUCUUCCUCCCCUGGCUGGGACUUCACCUGCAACUUUGAAGUUGAUUAUGGAUCUGAAGAACACGCUUCCAUUGUCUACAAGACAUUAGCUGUUGACAAGGAGUUGCAGCCAGAUAAGGUCAGGAGGGAGAUGACUGUUUCUGGUGGCAAGCUCCUCGUGCGCUUUGAAGCAGUAGAGGCUCGGUUUCUGCGAGCGUCAUUCAGCGCAUUUGUCGACCUUAUGGUACUUAUCACAAAGCUUGUCGAAGAAUACGGCGUAAGCAAGGAAGAGCAUUCCUGA
rnacentral:rRNA from 1 species